CCCUAGUUGUAUCCCCUGAUUACGUUCAACAAGCAGUAAGGUGAACAAAAUGAAGAAAACUGCAAAGUUACAGCAAUUCAUGUCUUGGAUGCAGUGUUUCAGCUGCUUUUACAAUAUUUAGCAAGAAUCUUACAGCUCCUCGGUGUCUUUACUCAACGAGCACCAACCAAUUCUGACCACGGAAUAUCAUCUAACCCUCAU